GACGGGGGGGGGCAAGUGUUCUUCGGAAUGACUGGGCGUAAAGGGCACGUAGGCGGUGAAUCGGGUUGAAAGUGAAAGUCGCCAAAAAAGUGGCGGAAUGCUCUCGAAACCAAUUCACUUGAGUGGGACAGAGGAGAGUGGAAUUUCGUGUGUAGGGGUGGAAAUACCGUCAGUCUACGAAGGAACGCCAAAAGCGAAGGACAGCUCUCUGG
rnacentral:rRNA from 1 species